rnacentral:lncRNA from 1 species
ACCUCCCAGGGUAUUAAGGCUGCACUUUUCUUUGGAGUCUCGUGCUGCUCAGGCUCAUGGCAGUGCUCCCUUUGAACUCUCUGUGGUUUGUAGUUCUCACCACUUGCUCAAAAUGAAGCAGAAUGCAACGGUUCAUAUAAUAUUAUGUCUCAGGAAGAGUGUAUGUAACAGUACCCGUGCUGAUAUGAGCCGGUUGACGCUUGGACAUCACAGACCUCUGUAUGGUGCUCCCAGAGGUCUGACAUGUAUUUUGCUAAAUCCUUCCAUCAAUAAAACCCAUGCUGCCUGCUUCUAGAUGGGUGAGAGGAGAAUGAUGGCAAAAGAAUUUGGUAUAUCCUUGCUCCCACCUUCCUGUUCUUGAAAGCACAGGACAUCUGUGGGAGGAUUAUCUCUGGAGGCCUUGAUGGAGAGUACCAACCAGUCUUCAUGUGAAGACACUCUGCGUUCCUCAGCACUUACCCGUGAUCUGCAUCCUUGCCAGGACCUUGCAGCUUGAGAGAUGUGUCCCCAGACCCCCCUAACCCAGCUGAGGAUGGAGGGAGCAGCCUGGUACACCCCAAGUACACUUCUCCUCCCAGUUAGGAAGACAUUAUUGCUGCCAGAGUACACGCUGUCCAUUCUUUAACCAGACAAGACUGGAUAAGAAAGGUAUAUGGAUGGUUUAUACAGGCAAGACAAGGGACAAAAAUACUGACUAAUCAUCUCCUUGCGGAGAUGCCAGUGGAAGUGAUUGAGACAAAGGGGCGUAGCAUCAUCUUGAUGCUGAAGAGCUUUCAGAGGAGGUAAGUGUGUGACUUCCCAGCAGAGCAAGUGGAGAAUAAGCAGCUGAAAAAUCUUUCUUCAUUUCUAAGAAAAACAGGAAUGGCCAGGCCAUUGCCGAGUGCUGACAUGUUUGUAUUGUUUGUGUUGCAUUGUUUUGUAAUCAAAAGUCAGUAUUUAUUGGACUAUACUCUCAAAAGGUCUCAUCUCAAAAUACUCUCAUAUCAGAAUCUGUGAUAAGACUAAAAACCCUGAUGGAAACUUAGCCCCAGCAAUUUUUUUUUCUGACAUCAGCUCUUCCGUGCCUUAAAGUAUAACCCCAAAGCCCUGAGCUCUCCACUAAGGAGGCUGGAUGUGGGAGCCAGCCAGCAGAGCCUGCUGCGUCCAAGCCCUCUUUGUAAGAGAGGUGGCUGUGGCUCUGGACAGUCUCUGGACUGCCUCCUUCCUUCUGCCUGCAGAGCACAGCCAUGGCCUCUCAGAAAGCUGCUGCUGGUGCCUGUCCUUGCCCUGUGGCUACACCAGCCUAGGGAGACCCUUCCAUGCAUCUUGCAUGCAUGGUAUAGCAGAUAAGCCACAAAUAGUUUGUGCCUACUUCAGUAAGUAGCUCACCGAUGUAGCAUACCAUUGUAAUGGAGAAAAAACCCUAAUUCCAUUAAAUUGGAUGUUAGGCAUAAUAGCUGGACCCUUAAGGUUAAAGAAAUCCGAUCCAUUCAGGUGGCACAGAACAGCCUUCAGUGCAUUGCACAGCCUAAGGAGAGAGCAGAGUGUUGCCCACUGUAUUUACUAUCAUGUUUGUUUUGGGAGCUAAAUUAUUCUUACUAAUUCUGCUAGCAGUGUAAUACGCUGUCUCAGUAAUGGAAAGCAUAUGAAAGCAAGCAGAUGGCGAGAGCAGAAAAAACCCAAGCAUGUCCUGAUAAUGUAGUAAGCAAGUUCAUUUUUUUGGCAUUAGGCUUUCAUAACCGAGGCAUGGUGAUAACAAGUACAGACACAUUUUUAAAGCGCAGUUCAUCAAAAAAUAUAGCCAGUUUCAUUGCAGAGCAAUGGAAGAUUACUUUGAGACUUUUAUAUAGAUAAAAGCUAGAUGUGAAUGUUGUUGAAUUAGACCCAUCAUUUAUUAUUGCUGGCAGAUGAGUGACAGCAGAUACUGGUCAGAGUGAUGCCAUCGCAGUCCUGUGAUCGCACGUAUCUUCACGAAUGUAGAGUUUCUCACCCGUUCACUUGCAAAUAUGUAGCCACCCUGUAUGCCAGAAAAACCACAGGCACUUUGAUACAGGGUGUUAUCGCAGUGGGCAGUAUUGGAAAUUCCAAGUAUUUUAUUUUGCUUCUAAAGCUUUCAGUCUCUGGUUGGAAGUUGUGAAGCUCAAGGCUGCUGCUGCUUCAAUAUCUGCGUAUCUGCAGCACGUGUGGAUCCCACCUGGUUUGGCCCCAUUCCCUGCGAGGAGGGCACUGCAUGGGGAGUGCUCAGCAUGUCUAGAGAAGAGUGGCCUCGCCUCUCUGCUGAAGCAAACAGUCCUGGCAUGGAGUUUUGGGGGGGAGGAGGCGGUGGAAGUAACUUGACUACCUCCAACCCACAUUUUUUUUGUUGUUUUUUUUUUGUCUCUCAGGCCAAGAUAUGGGCAGAAGCAAGGCCAGAUUCACUGUUUACACAAUCUAUCACUUUAAGGUUCUUCAGAGAAGGGAUACAUUAAUUUUUGUUAUGAUUUCACUUUGAAGCAGCGCAGCUGCAUCUUUGUGUGACAUGUCAAGUGGCUCCAGCCGUGCAUUGUGAGAUGGGGCUGCAAGCAAAGCCCUGCCCUCAGCUUCCAGGAGUUUGGUUCAGAGAGAGCAAGGGAGGAGGAGCUGCCAAUGCUGCUGUGUGGGGAGCAAGUGCCAGUUCAGGGAGUGAACAGAACUGAGCAGUGAUCUCUUCUGCAGGGAAGGGGUGAGGAGAGACGGCCCCCUUUCUCAUGAAACCAUGUAAUUGGUUAUAAUGCUCAUUUUUCACCAUUCAAUAGCACAGCGUGUUAAGUAAUGAAAGUUUUUAAAUAUUUCAUAUGCAUCUGGUUCGUUCCUGAUUUGAAGAAACAAAGGCAAGAAAGCCUUUCUGAUUGCUUGCUCCCUCUGAGGGCCUUGCUCUUGCUGCUUCCUGAGGAAAGUUGUCUCCCUUUAUCUUUUUUUAGCAAUGGAUGCUGAUUUAACCUCCCAGGAAAUCAUGUCUUUUCUUCUGUGUUGCUUUUAGUAUCUCCAGGAAGUGGCAGGUGGCACCACUCAGGAGAUGACUUUGAUGGCCCCAUGUCCUCUCUGUUUCAUUACCCAGGCAGGAGGUGGGACUGCUGUUACACCUUGUUCCCAGCUGUUUUCUGCUCCCAAGGCUGUGCCACCCAUCUCGUUGCUGUGGCUUUCUCUUGUGGGGCCUGGGGACAGAUGCAGAAGCCAGGUGACACGGAUGCUUUGCUGCCAGCGCGGGGCCUGAGGCUGUAUCCUGGUGGAGCCUGGGCAGGGGCUGAUCGGCUCAGGAGAGAUGGGAUGGGACAGGGUCUGCCCUAAUGCUGAAGGCCCAGCUCAAACCUCUGGGGGCGGGAGACCCUGUGCUGAUAGCCAGAAGUCAGAGCACGUUGCUUCCUUCUGCUGUGGUGUCUCUGCCAUCUGCAAAUCCCUCCAGCAGCGGCACCCUGCCUCUGCCUUGUUCCCACUUUGUUUAGGCUAAAGCCAGUGGGUCUGUCUUCAAAGCAAAGUGCGGCUUUCCCUGUGGAAAAAUCUCACUCCUGACUUUUGCUCUGUCCCCACAUCAAGCCAGCUUUCAGUGCACUGCCUGUAAGCAACUGUUAUUUUUUGUGUUUGUCCUGCAGUGAGCCAUAGCGUUCUGUGUCACCAUACCUCUAGACAAGGCUGUGAAAGCAGUUGAGGACUUUUCCAACAACUGAUGCCUGCUGCUGCUGCUCACAGCCAGCACAAAGCCUUCCCACUGCCAGGCCUGCCUGCUCUGGGCUGCUGUGUUUAUUUCUGGGGUUAGAGGGGAAGGGGGGGGAACUGUAUCUGGGUAUUUUAAUUAGAUAAUAAUAAUGGAAACAAGUGGCACUAUGGCCACUUCCUAAACAGAGACAUCUGUUUGUAGAGUCCUGGCCCUAUUGGAGAGCACUAGGUAGGACUCAUCAGGCCAAGUCGUCGCUGCAGCUGUGCUGGGCAGCCCUGGAGCCCACUGGCUCCUCACAGGGGUGCUGGAGCACACUGGGGGCAUCGCUCCCCUCCCACUGCCCAUGCACUGCUGGAUGUGGCACAGCACUGCUACAUACAAAACCCUACUGAAGUUAUUUGCCUCAGUCUCACACAUCUGAGUCUUGUAACUUUGCUGCUGGUUCAUUUUCAGGAGGGACAGGAUAUAUUACGGAGCUAAAUUCUCACGGGCAAAUAAUAAGUCCUAGCACCUGCUGGCUGGAACCCACAGGCUGUGACCUGUCUCCUCCAAUGUUUGUAUUUUCCUCUGCGGGAAAGAGCAACAUGGUAAAGAAUUCCUAUUAUUUCAAAUAUUUCACCAUGGUGUUAUCUAGCCUAGUCUAAACAAUGGUCCCGAUUGCUCUUGAGAGUUGUACUCUGCAGGAGAAAACGGUAACAAAUGUUGUUAUUCCCAACGUGAUCCCCCCCACUACGGGGACACAGAUAUUUGUGACAUGGAAUGGCAGUGUGCUCCUGGAAGCAUCAAUCCAGAUA